rnacentral:rRNA from 1 species
UACGUAGGGUGCGAGCGUUAAUCGGAAUUACUGGGCGUAAAGCGUGCGCAGGCGGUUAUGCAAGACAGAUGUGAAAUCCCCGGGCUCACCUGGGAACUGCAUUGUGACUGCAUAGCUAGAGUACGGUAGAGGGGGAUGGAAUUCCGCGUGUAGCAGUGAAAUGCGUAGAUAUGCGGAGGAACACCGAUGGCGAAGGCAAUCCCCUGGACCUGUACUGACGCUCAUGCACGAAAGCGUGGGGAGCAAACAGG